rnacentral:tRNA from 1 species
CCGCCUGUAGCUCAGCUGGAUAGAGCAGCCCUCUAACUAAGGGUUAGGUCGUGGGUUCGAAUCCCACCAGGCCGUU